rnacentral:rRNA from 1 species
CCCAGGGGACAGCCUAUACAUGCAAGUCGAACGCUUCUUUUUCCACCGGAGCUUGCUCCACCGGAAAAAGAGGAGUGGCGAACGGGUGAGUAACACGUGGGUAACCUGCCCAUCAGAAGGGGAUAACACUUGGAAACAGGUGCUAAUACCGUAUAACAAUCGAAACCGCAUGGUUUUGAUUUGAAAGGCGCUUUCGGGUGUCGCUGAUGGAUGGACCCGCGGUGCAUUAGCUAGUUGGUGAGGUAACGGCUCACCAAGGCGACGAUGCAUAGCCGACCUGAGAGGGUGAUCGGCCACAUUGGGACUGAGACACGGCCCAAACUCCUACGGGAGGCAGCAGUAGGGAAUCUUCGGCAAUGGACGAAAGUCUGACCGAGCAACGCCGCGUGAGUGAAGAAGGUUUUCGGAUCGUAAAACUCUGUUGUUAGAGAAGAACAAGGAUGAGAGUAACUGUUCAUCCCUUGACGGUAUCUAACCAGAAAGCCACGGCUAACUACGUGCCAGCAGCCGCGGUAAUACGUAGGUGGCAAGCGUUGUCCGGAUUUAUUGGGCGUAAAGCGAGCGCAGGCGGUUUCUUAAGUCUGAUGUGAAAGCCCCCGGCUCAACCGGGGAGGGUCAUUGGAAACUGGGAGACUUGAGUGCAGAAGAGGAGAGUGGAAUUCCAUGUGUAGCGGUGAAAUGCGUAGAUAUAUGGAGGAACACCAGUGGCGAAGGCGGCUCUCUGGUCUGUAACUGACGCUGAGGCUCGAAAGCGUGGGGAGCAAACAGGAUUAGAUACCCUGGUAGUCCACGCCGUAAACGAUGAGUGCUAAGUGUUGGAGGGUUUCCGCCCUUCAGUGCUGCAGCUAACGCAUUAAGCACUCCGCCUGGGGAGUACGACCGCAAGGUUGAAACUCAAAGGAAUUGACGGGGGCCCGCACAAGCGGUGGAGCAUGUGGUUUAAUUCGAAGCAACGCGAAGAACCUUACCAGGUCUUGACAUCCUUUGACCACUCUAGAGAUAGAGCUUCCCCUUCGGGGGGCAAAGUGACAGGUGGUGCAUGGUUUGUCGUCAGCUCGUGUCGUGAGAUGUUGGGUUAAGUCCCGCAACGAGCGCAACCCUUAUUGUUAGUUGCCAUCAUUUAGUUGGSMMYYCUAGCAAGACUGCCSGKKRSAAMMMRGAGGAAGGUGGGGAUGACGUCAAAUCAUCAUGCCCCUUAUGACCUGGGCUACACACGUGCUACAAUGGGAAGUACAACGAGUCGCAAAGUCGCGAGGCUAAGCUAAUCUCUUAAAGCUUCUCUCAGUUCGGAUUGUAGGCUGCAACUCGCCUACAUGAAGCCGGAAUCGCUAGUAAUCGCGGAUCAGCACGCCGCGGUGAAUACGUUCCCGGGCCUUGUACACACCGCCCGUCACACCACGAGAGUUUGUAACACCCGAAGUCGGUGAGGUAACCUUUUGGAGCCAGCCGCCUAUUGAUUUUAA